GAUGAAGAACGUAGCGAAAUGCGAUAAGUAAUGUGAAUUGCAGAAUUCAGUGAAUCAUCGAAUCUUUGAACGCACCUUGCACCCUUUGGUAUUCCGAAGGGUAUGCUCGUUUGAGUGUCAUUGUACUCUCACACUUCUAAUUCCUUUCGGGAUUGGGAGCGGUGGACUUGGGUGUUGCUGCUUUAGUUGUGGCUCACCUCAAAUAAGUUAGUGCAACUCUUGGUUGGACAUAGUACGGCGUGAUAAGUGUCUUCGCCGGCGCCUUUGUAAGGAGGGUGGCCGAUCGGGAGCUCUGUGCUUCAAACCGUCUUCGGACAAUCUUUGACAACUUGACCUCAAAUCGAGUAGGACUACCCGCUGAACUUAAGCAUAUCAAUAAGCGGAGGA
rnacentral:misc_RNA from 1 species